rnacentral:rRNA from 1 species
CAGUCGCCGCGGUAAUACGGAGGGUGCAAGCGUUAAUCGGAAUUACUGGGCGUAAAGCGUGCGUAGGUGGUGGUUUAAGUCCGUUGUGAAAGCCCUGGGCUCAACCUGGGAAUUGCAGUGGAUACUGGGUCACUAGAGUGUGGUAGAGGAUAGUGGAAUUUCCGGUGUAGCAGUGAAAUGCGUAGAGAUCGGAAGGAACAUCUGUGGCGAAGGCGACUAUCUGGGCCAACACUGACACUGAGGCACGAAAGCGUGGGGAGCAAACAGGAUUAGAUACCCCUGUAGUCCCUGUCUCUUAUAC